GUGUUUCACGUAUCAAAGGUAGCUGUAAACUCACAGGCUAAGCCUGGCACAGAGGCCAGGAGGCAUGGCCCGCAGGAGGAGGUAAUUGGUAGCAUUAUGUUUCCCUCGAACGAAGAAGGUAAAAGCCAGAUUAGAAAAGGUCAAAAAGAGACUAGAAGGAAAGAAAUUUAGGGGUACAGGUGUGAACUUUGGGCCAAGAAGCAUUGCUUAACCAGAAGAACAAGGUUAAGAGAAGUAAUCACAGCCCAAAGAGGCACCAGGCAUGUGGCACUCUGUGGGCCGUUCAUAGUUCAGUCUUGGCAAGAUACUGGAACUUAUUAUUCUACAAACCCAGCGCUUCAAAGUUGAUGAGAUUUUUACUGCUGCUGCAAAUGAUGAAGGAAGGGAGAAUUUAGGAGUGAAGACAGUUGCGAGGAGGCCCACGGCUGUCCGCGCUGCUGAUGUGGUCUGUAACCCCACUGGAAUCAAGAGAAGCAGGCUUUUCAAACCUUUGCUGCAUAAACCUUGUUAUCGCUGAAAUAGACCACUUGAGAUAGAGGUGCCGAUGGAUUUGCUGCUGAUGACAGCUCACCAGGACCCAGCUCUCCAUUCAGAUCUGUUGGUGCCUGAAUGCGGAGCUGAAUGCACAAGCCUGGAGCUGUUACCAUCGUGUCCUCCCUUUCCCAAAAUAGCACCUGAAAAAUGGAGGCUGAACACAAUGUUUAAUGUUUUUCAGCUUCACUAUGCUCUAAAAUGGGCCUGAGCUGUGAUAAUAAGUGAAAGUACUCGGAUAGUCCCAGCACAUCAGCAUUUCUGAUCAUAAUGAUUUGUGACUCAGACCUUGAGAGCUGUGGGAUUUCUUUCUAGUUGAAUCAAUACAAGUUUACAUAAAUAUAUGUUUCUGUUUUCCUUUUGUUCUUGCUUCAGCAUUCAUGUUUACUUGCUGGCAAGUAUAUACAAUGGGAGGGUGAGAGGGAAAGAAAUGGAGCGAAAGAUGACUCAGAAGAAAUUAUUUGAGUGGGUUCAAAUUUCUUUCCUGAUUAUGACUUUUUAGUGAGCCUAUUUGUUUUGCUUAUAAGGGGGAACACACUGGAAUUUUCCUUUGAAAAGAUAAAAUUUAUCCUAGGCAUUUAAGAGAUAUAACCACUCAUCUAUUACCCUGAUUCUAAACUGUAGCCAUCCUUGCAGAGCAAACUGUAUCAGAGUGUUCGAUGUGUUGGGGAGUUUUGUAUUGGAGACAUGUAUCCCAAAACAUUAUUCAACAGUCAUGUAUGGUUGAUUUGCUACUGAUACAAGGAGGUAAGAGAGCAUUCACCCCACUUUUAAAAUCUGCCUCAUUCAAGGGGAUAAGCCUCAAGAUAACAGUGUGUGAUCAUUUCCUGCACGGUGGGAAGAUAGGAAGACCUUUCACUUCCACUUGAAUAACCACAAAGAUGAAGAAGAGGCCACCUUAUUAAAGAAUUAUCUGUGGCACAGAUUCUAUUACCAAAUAUUAUCCCUUCCUCGCCCUCCUGGUCUCACCUGCUUUUGCAAGUGCCCCAGGCACAGGACUGGUAGCUGCUUUCUAUGACUCGUGCAAUUUGUGAAAUGUAGAAACUCAGCUCACUAAGGUCACAAACGGGAUCUGAAAUUGAGACUUUCCCUCAACAAACUAUGGGCCACUCAGGGGCUGCUCAAGGUUGAGCUGGGAAGGUGACCAUCUCUUACUAAGUUGUCCCUAUUUCUUAUUUGCCAGAGGCAGUUCUGAGCAUGUUAUAGCUUCUUAAUGUGAGUUCGAACCCAAGACUCUUGACCUGAAGCAUUUCUGACUUCCUUAUCUGUAAGUCACAUUUCAACAAGAAAUUAAUUAAGUUAUUGGGAAAUGAAUAUUACUUAACAUACGUACAUUUUCUCUGAGUUUAUUUAGGUAAA